CAAUUACUUUAUUCCAAAUGGACAUUAUUUUACACCUCAUUUGCACCCAAGGGUGCUGGCGUCACGCCAUAAGGGACUCUGCUUUCCCUGCACCUUAAACCCUAUACCAUCAAGGGCACCUCAACCAACUUCUGGCAGGAGAUCCCUCAACACCAACGUGUGCCCGAAGGAAUCUGGUGACUUCCUUCUAAUCAUUGCACUCUGGCCCAGGGAGCUCUUCAGGAAACCGUGAUUACCAACUACUAAACCCAUCAG